AUGAACGCUAGCUACAGGCUUAACACAUGCAAGUCGAGGGGCAGCAUCAUCAAAGCUUGCUUUGAUGGAUGGCGACCGGCGCACGGGUGAGUAACACGUAUCCAACCUGCCGACAACACUGGGAUAGCCUUUCGAAAGAAAGAUUAAUACCGGAUGGCAUAGUUUUCCCGCAUGGGAUAAUUAUUAAAGAAUUUCGGUUGUCGAUGGGGAUGCGUUCCAUUAGGCAGUUGGCGGGGUAACGGCCCACCAAACCAACGAUGGAUAGGGGUUCUGAGAGGAAGGUCCCCCACAUUGGAACUGAGACACGGUCCAAACUCCUACGGGAGGCAGCAGUGAGGAAUAUUGGUCAAUGGACGAGAGUCUGAACCAGCCAAGUAGCGUGAAGGAUGACUGCCCUAUGGGUUGUAAACUUCUUUUAUACGGGAAUAAAGUGAGCCACGUGUGGCUUUUUGUAUGUACCGUAUGAAUAAGGAUCGGCUAACUCCGUGCCAGCAGCCGCGGUAAUACGGAGGAUCCGAGCGUUAUCCGGAUUUAUUGGGUUUAAAGGGAGCGUAGGCGGGUUGUUAAGUCAGUUGUGAAAGUUUGCGGCUCAACCGUAAAAUUGCAGUUGAUACUGGCGACCUUGAGUGCAACAGAGGUAGGCGGAAUUCGUGGUGUAGCGGUGAAAUGCUUAGAUAUCACGAAGAACUCCGAUUGCGAAGGCAGCUUACUGGAUUGUAACUGACGCUGAUGCUCGAAAGUGUGGGUAUCAAACAGGAUUAGAUACCCUGGUAGUCCACACAGUAAACGAUGAAUACUCGCUGUUGGCGAUAUACGGUCAGCGGCCAAGCGAAAGCAUUAAGUAUUCCACCUGGGGAGUACGGCCGCAAGGUUGAAACUCAAAGGAAUUGAUGGGGGCCCGCACAAGCAGUGGAGUAUGUGGUUUAAUUCGAAGCAACGCGAAGAACCUUACCAAGGCUUGACAUAUACAGGAAUAUUUAAGAGAUUAAAUAGCUCUUCGGAGUCUGUAUACAGGUGGUGCAUGGUUGUCGUCAGCUCGUGCCGUGAUGUGUUGGGUUAAGUCCCGCAACGAGCGCAACCCCUGUCCUUAGUUGCCAGCAUGUAGAGAUGGGAACUCUAAGGAGACUGCCGUAGAUAAUACGGAGGAAGGUGGGGAUGACGUCAAAUCAGCACGGCCCUUACGUCCGGGGCUACACACGUGUUACAAUGGGGGGUACAGAAGGCAGCUACACGGCGACGUGGUGCUAAUCCCUAAAGCCUCUCUCAGUUCGGAUUGGAGUCUGCAACCCGACUCCAUGAAGCUGGAUUCGCUAGUAAUCGCGCAUCAGCCACGGCGCGGUGAAUACGUUCCCGGGCCUUGUACACACCGCCCGUCAAGCCAUGAAAGCCGGGGGUACCUGAAGUACGUAACCGCGAGGAGCGUCCUAGGGUAAAACUGGUGAUUGGGGCU
rnacentral:rRNA from 1 species